AUUGAACGCUGGCGGCAGGCCUAACACAUGCAAGUCGAACGAGUGGCGGACGGGUGAGUAAUGUCUGGGAAACUGCCUGAUGGAGGGGGAUAACUACUGGAAACGGUAGCUAAUACCGCAUACCAUCGGAUGUGCCCAGAUGGGAUUAGCUAGUAGGUGGGGUAAAGGCUCACCUAGGCGACGAUCCCUAGCUGGUCUGAGAGGAUGACGAUCCACACUGGAACGUAGACACGGUCCAGAGUCCGACCAAGAGCCACAGGUUAUAAUAUGGCACAAUGGGCGCACGCCUAAUUCAGCCAUGCCGCGUGGAUGAAGAGGGCCUUCGGGGUGUAAAGUACUUUCAGCGGGGAGGCGUUACCCACAGAAGAAGCACCGGCUAACUCCGUGCCAGCAGCCGCGGUAAUUC
rnacentral:rRNA from 1 species